rnacentral:rRNA from 1 species
GAUGAACGCUGGCGGCGUGCUUAACACAUGCAAGUCGAGCGAUGAAGUUUCCUUCGGGAAACGGAUUAGCGGCGGACGGGUGAGUAACACGUGGGUAACCUGCCUCAUAGAGUGGAAUAGCCUUCCGAAAGGAAGAUUAAUACCGCAUAACGUUGAAAGAUGGCAUCGUCAUUCAACCAAAGGAGCAAUCCGCUAUGAGAUGGACCCGCGGCGCAUUAGCUAGUUGGUGGGGUAACGGCCUACCAAGGCGACGAUGCGUAGCCGCCCUGAGAGGGUGAUCGGCGACAUUGGGACUGAGACACGGCCCAGGCUCCUACGGGAGGCAGCAGUGGGGAAUAGUGCACAAUGGGGGAAACCCUGAUGCAGCAACGCCGCGUGAGUGAUGAAGGUUUUCGGAUCGUAAAGCUCUGUCUUUGGGGAAGAUAAUGACGGUACCCAAGGAGGAAGCCACGGCUAACUACGUGCCAGCCGCCGCUGUAA